CAAUAAGUUCUGGUUUAUCUUCAUGCAUUGAACACCUCAAAAGCUCUACAUAUAGUGUCACCUUCUAAUGCUUCACUCAACACAAACCAGAUUGGUACAAUAUUAUGCUGCCGUUUCUCUGCCUCAUGAUACGGUUGUGAUGCAUCCAUCCGCCUCAUAAUUCUGAUUUAGAGGAGAGUUAGUGUUUGAGAAGAUGCGCAAAAGAAAGAGUCGAGGGUCGGAAUUGAAGGUGGCGAACAGGCCAACAUCGCCGGUGUUUUCUUCGUCAUCAUCAGGUGAAUGGCCGGAGUUUUCUUCCUCGUCGUCUUGUUCUUCGGUAUCAUACUCACCAAAGUUUGCGACCGAGGAAGAAGAGAAAGUGCAUGGUGAAAAUGGUGAAGAAACAAAGGCCAUGGAUCUGGUUGGUUGUCCUCGGUGCUUCAUGUUCGUGAUGCUAUCAGAGGAGGAUCCAAAGUGCCCUAAGUGCAAGAGCACAGUUUUUCUUGAGUUUUUCAAACAUGAAAGCAUCAAGACAGACAACUGAGUCGUGAUGAGGACAAUUUUUAGGAAUUAAAUAAAACCCUCAUAUGCUUCAGGAUCUUUCCAUGUUUAUUUGUUUUGCCUAUGUUGUUUAGUUGUAAAUCUGAGUUUUAUCUUCUUACCUGAAGACUAAAUAAAGUUUAUAUCAUGCUCUACUUUUCAUCUUCUUCA